UAGGGAAUCUUCCACAAUGGACGCAAGUCUGAUGGAGCAACGCCGCGUGAGUGAAGAAGGUUUUCGGACCGUAAAGCUCUGUUGUUGGUGAAGAAGGAUAGAGGUAGUAACUGGCCUUUUAUUUGACGGUAAUCAACCAGAAAGUCACGGCUAACUACGUGCCAGCAGCCGCGGUAAUACGUAGGUGGCAAGCGUUGUCCGGAUUUAUUGGGCGUAAAGCGAGCGCAGGCGGAAGAAUAAGUCUGAUGUGAAAGCCCUCGGCUUAACCGAGGAAUUGCAUCGGAAACUGUUUUCUUGAGUGCAGAAGAGGAGAGUAGAACUCCAUGUGUAGCGGUGGAAUGCGUAGAUAUAUGGAAGAAUACCAGUGGCGAAGGCGGCUCUCUGGUCUGCAACUGACGCUGAGGCUCGAAAGCAUGGUAGCGAACAGGAUUAGAUACCCUGGUAGUCCAUGCCGUAAACGAUGAGUGCUAAGUGUUGGGAGGCUUCCGCCUCUCAGUGCUGCAGCUAACGCAUUAAGCACUCCGCCUGGGGGAGUACGACCGCAAGGUUGAAAC
rnacentral:rRNA from 1 species